GGGGGUGUAGCUCAGCUGGUAGAGCGCGUGCUUUGCAAGCAUGAGGCCAUCGGUUCGAAUCCGAUCAUCUCCAC
rnacentral:tRNA from 1 species